rnacentral:rRNA from 1 species
UACGGAGGGUGCAAGCGUUAUCCGGAUUCACUGGGUUUAAAGGGAGCGUAGGAGGGCAGGUAAGUCAGUGGUGAAAUCCUGGGGCUUAACUCCAGAACUGCCGUUGAUACUAUCUGUCUUGAAUACCGUGGAGAUGAGCGGAAUAUGUCAUGUAGCGGUGAAAUGCGUAGAUAUCGGAAGGAACACCAGUGGCGAAAGCGGCUUCCUGGUCCAGCACCGACGUUCAGGCACGAAAGCGUGGGGAGCAAACAGG